rnacentral:rRNA from 1 species
GACGAACGUUGGCGGCGUGCUUAAUACAUGCAAGUCAACUUGACUUUAGAUAGCAAUAUCGAAAAGUAGGGUGGCGCACGGGUGCGUAACGCGUAGGUAAUCUGCCCUGAGGUCUGACAUAACCCGUCGAAAGGCGGGCUAACAUCAGAUGAUAUAUAAUCACGACAUCGUGGAAAAUAUCAAAUCUUCGGAGCCUUGGGAUGAGCCUGCGUCUGAUUAGGUAGUUGGCGGAGUAAUAGCCCACCAAGCCUACGAUCAGUAGCUGGUCUGAGAGGAUGAUCAGCCACACUGGAACUGAGACACGGUCCAGACUCCUACGGGAGGCAGCAGUAAGGAAUAUUGCUCAAUGGGGGAAACCCUGAAGCAGCAACGCCGCGUGAAGGAUGAAAUACUUUUGUAUGUAAACUUCUGUAAGAUGGGAAAAAUAUUCUCCUCGGGAGAAUUGAUUGUACCAUCAGAGUAAGCCCCGGCUAACUACGUGCCAGCAGCCG